UUAAAAGGACUCUUCACAAGUAAGGGCUCUUCAUUAUCGGCACCUGUUUGGCUCUCGUCUAUCUUCUUCCGCUCUGGAUUCUUAUCACCUUUCACAGUCUGGAUUCUUCUGGUCUCUGGUGCCCUCUUCGCAUCUGGUACAAUUCUUAUCUUCUUUCUAAGGCCUUAUUUUGAAAACCAACAAGCUGAUAAAAACUAACGAAACCUUGAUAGCAAUUAAAGCUCCAUGUGGCACUACUUUGGAAGUCUCAGAUCCUGAUGAGGUAAUCCCAUAAGCAGACGUCGGUCGAUCAAGGAAAAAAUGCAUAAUUUUUGUGCAUGCAUACUCAAUAUGGGCUAUUAACUAUCCCCAACGGAGAUACAUGAUAGUCCUUAGAAGUACAAUGGGUCCCAUAGAUGUUUAUCUUGUCAGCACUCCUCAAGGCUGCAAGAAAGAUUAAUUUCAGAGAUAUUUCAAGCCAAAUAGCCUGCAACUGAAAGGUGUAAUGUGUUUAGACUGUCUAUUAUAUGAGUUUAAACAAUUUUAGUUGAAUUACUUUAUCCACUUGAUUGACAAUUUUAGUUGAAUUUCUUUAUCCACUUGAUUGACAAACUCUGACUUUCACUUUCACUUUCUUUUUUUGUGCAUUAUAAAUUCUUGGAAUAAUUGGAAAAUGAUUUUUGUCGAUGGCCUUGCAGCAAUCCAACAGGGUUCUCAAUCAGCACAUAAUGUCAUAGUAGCAUUUGUUAGGCACCCUAGAAUUCAUGGCACCAGAAUUAUACGAAUGGGAUUACAAUAAGCUUGUUGAUGUUUACUCAAUUUGGUAGGUGUGUUUUAGAGAUGCUUACAUCUGAAUACCUUUAUGGUGAAUGUGUUAACCCGGCACAAAUUUACAAGAAAGCGACUUUGGAAAAUCAUGAUGCCAAGAUUUAUAAUUAUUAUCAAGCUAGAGUAUGACAUUCACACCAUUUCAGUUAUGCAGGGAAAGCUUUCUGCUGCAUUCUAUCAGAUUCAGGACUUAAAGCAGAGCGGCUUAUUGAUGCCUAUCAUACAUUCAACUACCAAGAAGAUGAUGGGACUAAUCAUCCUUUCAAUUCUUUCUCCUUUUGUUCAUUAUCUCAAGCAUCCCUUACCCAUUCAAUUUCUGAGAAUUUGAUGUUUAAUCCAUUUAUUGUGGAAUGUGGAAUUAGAAAACCAUCAAAUAUAUGUAUAUAAAUUAUUUUUCUCAAUAGUAUAGAGAAUUUAAUAUUUUCAUGACAUUAAUUUGUACAAGUUCAUUACAAUUUAUAAUAUCAAGAUUAAAUGCAAA